AGUUUUCGGGCGGAGUCGACUGCAACUGGGAUAUAUCUGUGUGCAGUGAGUACGCAGGAACAAGCCGUGUACAAGUCCGUCGGUUUUUGGAAUUUGGUACUCCGGAGAGGGACCGGCAGACAGAAGGGAACUGAAAUAAAGAAAGAGCACCACACAGUCGAAAAUGUCUUCGAAUAAAGACGAUGGUGGAUGGAAGAAGUUUGUAUGGGAUUCGGACAAGGGGGAAUUUUGUGGACGCACAGGGGGGAGUUGGUUUAAAAUUCUAGGGUUCUACUUAAUCUUCUAUGCUUUUCUGGCUGGAGUAUUCAUCGGCACCAUCCAGGCCUUGCUUCUCACCCUCAGUAACUACAAACCCACCUGGCAAGACAGAGUUGCUCCCCCAGGCCUGUCACACACCCCACGCUCCGACAAAUCCGAGAUCGCCUUCAACUUGAAUGAUGUGGAGACCUACUUGACUUACACCAAGGCCAUGCGAGACUUCCUGGUUAUGUACGACGACGACAAACAGCGGGACCAGAUGAAAUACGAGGAUUGUGGAGAGCAACCGGAAGAAUAUAAGAACCGUGGUGACCUGGAGAGUGAUGUGGGGAUCAGGAAGGCCUGUCGCUUCCAGAGGAGCUGGCUUGGGCCUUGCUCCGGCAUGGAAGACAAAGAAUUUGGCUUCAAGGAAGGAAAACCCUGCCUGAUCGUCAAGCUCAACAGGAUUGUCAACUUCAGGCCACGGCCCCCCAGCUCCAAUGAAAGCAUCCCUGAGGGAGCCCAGACAAAGGUCCAGCCCAACGUCAUGCCCAUCUUCUGCACCAACAAGAGAGAGGAGGACGCCGGUAAGAUGGGUGAGGUGAAGUACUACGGCAUUGGGGAAGGUUUCCCCUCCAGUAUUACCCUUACUACGGCAAGCUGCUUCACCCCCAGUACCUGCAGCCCCUAGUGGCCCUCCAGUUCGUCAACCUCACCAUGAACACCGAGCUGCGCAUCGAGUGCAGAGCCUACGGAGAGAACAUUGGCUACAGCGAGAAGGACAAGUUCCAAGGAAAAUUUGACGUUAAAUUCACUGUCACCAACUUAUGACCACAGUUAGGUUCAUAGCACUUUCUCUCCAGCCCUCUCCCUCCCCAACCAUU